UACGGAGGGGGCAAGCGUUAAUCGGAAUUACUGGGCGUAAAGCGCGCGUAGGUGGCUUGAUAAGCCGGUUGUGAAAGCCCGGGGCUCAACCUGGGAACGGCAUUCGGAACUGUCAAGCUAGAGUGCAGGAGAGGAAGGUAGAAUUCCCGGUGUAGCGGUGUAAUGCGUAGAGAUCGGGAGGAAUACCAGUUGCGAAGGCGUCCUUCUGGACUGACACUGACACUGAGGUGCGAAAGCGUGGGUAGCAAAAAGG
rnacentral:misc_RNA from 1 species